rnacentral:rRNA from 1 species
AGUGAACGCUGGCGGUAGGCCUAACACAUGCAAGUCGAACGGCAGCACAGAGGAGCUUGCUCCUUGGGUGGCGAGUGGCGGACGGGUGAGGAAUACAUCGGAAUCUACUCUGUCGUGGGGGAUAACGUAGGGAAACUUACGCUAAUACCGCAUACGACCUACGGGUGAAAGCAGGGGACCUUCGGGCCUUGCGCGAUUGAAUUAGCCGCUGUCGGAUUAGUUAGUUGGCGGGGUAAAGGCCCACCAAGGCGACGAUCCGUAGCUGGUCUGAGAGGAUGAUCAGCCACACUGGAACUGAGACACGGUCCAGACUCCUACGGGAGGCAGCAGUGGGGAAUAUUGGACAAUAGGCGCAAGCCUGAUCCAGCCAUACCGCGUGGGUGAAGAAGGCCUUCGGGUUGUAAAGCCCUUUUGUUGGGAAAGAAAUCCAGCUGGCUAAUACCCGGUUGGGAUGACGGUACCCAAAGAAUAAGCACCGGCUAACUUCGUGCCAGCCGCCGCCGUAA